rnacentral:lncRNA from 1 species
AAAAAAAAAAAAAAACUUAAAGAAAUUACAAAAAAUAACAAUAAAAAAUCUGAAAAGAAUUCCUAAAAAAUUCAAAAGAAACAUUAGAAUAAUUUCAAAUAUAUCUUAAAUAAAUCUCAACCAAGUCCUAAUUUAAUUCUAGUUGAAAGUCUAAUAGAUUUCAAUCAAAUCAUAGGCCAAAUCCUAAAUCCUACACAAAUUCUAAAAUCUAAAUCCUAAAUCCUAAGAAAACUCUAAACUCUAAACCUUAAAUCCUAUACAAUCCAUAAUUCCUAAUCAAAUCUUAAUUUAAUCC